CAACUGGCAGGGCUUCUUGCAGGAUGGUCUACUUCUCCUGUUUCUACCUGCAGACAAGUAUUUCCAGGGACCAAGGCUGGAACUCUGCUAAACAGAGACAUGAAGUCAAGUCAUCUCCAACAUAUCACUGCGAUGUGUGAUUCUUGCAUAAAAAUUGCCAGGUGAGUUAUCACAAUUCAAAUUCUUAAUCUCAUAUUACAAUAAGACUUGACUGAACAAAGCCUAUUUCAUGCUUUAAGAUACAGUGUUUAUCAUAUCGUUAUGCUUUUGCACUUAAAUACCCGAAGUUGAUUACUCAACAUUAAAUUUACAAAAUCGUAAGUUCUUUCGAG
rnacentral:lncRNA from 12 species